UACGUAUGGUGCAAGCGUUAUCCGGAUUUACUGGGUGUAAAGGGAGCGCAGGCGGCACGGCAAGCCUGAUGUGAAAGCCCGCGGCCCAACCGCGGGACUGCAUUGGGAACUACCGGGCUGGGGUGCCGGAGAGGUAGGCGGAAUUCCUAGUGUAGCGGUGAAAUGCGUAGAUAUUAGGAGGAACACCAGUGGCGAAGGCGGCCUACUGGACGGUGACUGACGCUGAGGCUCGAAAGCGUGGGGAGCAAACAGG
rnacentral:rRNA from 1 species